rnacentral:rRNA from 1 species
GAUGAACGCUAGCUACAGGCUUAACACAUGCAAGUCGAGGGGAAACGAUAGAGAAAGCUUGCUUUUUCUAGGCGUCGACCGGCGCACGGGUGAGUAACGCGUAUCCAACCUGCCCACCACUUGGGGAUAACCUUGCGAAAGUAAGACUAAUACCCAAUGACGUCUCUAGAAGACAUCUGAAAGAGAUUAAAGAUUUAUCGGUGAUGGAUGGGGAUGCGUCUGAUUAGCUUGUUGGCGGGGUAACGGCCCACCAAGGCGACGAUCAGUAGGGGUUCUGAGAGGAAGGUCCCCCACAUUGGAACUGAGACACGGUCCAAACUCCUACGGGAGGCAGCAGUGAGGAAUAUUGGUCAAUGGACGAGAGUCUGAACCAGCCAAGUAGCGUGCAGGAUGACGGCCCUAUGGGUUGUAAACUGCUUUUAUAAGGGAUAAAGUGAGUCUCGUGAGACUUUUUGCAUGUACCUUAUGAAUAAGGACCGGCUAAUUCCGUGCCAGCAGCCGCGG